UGCAGAUUAGUGAAUGAGGUCCUUUGCAGGUCAGUUUGAGUGCUUUUUCUUUCUUGUUUCCGGAGCUUGUUCAGUACAAUCAGACUCAAGUGGACAACAUUACUAAAUUAGAGCGAAGCUGCUCUAUGUACCUUUGAAUCAACAAACUCAAGAAGUGGAGGGAUACCAUGGCCUUCAGUCCUAUAGUCACAAAAUAAAAUCAAAGCAAGAAAAAUAGAUUGUAACUGUAUCAGUUGCCCGUUGAAUAGCACCAUUGACUCCUCAAGAGUUCUAAGCAUUUAUGUGCCUCUUCAGCAGAUUAAGAAUAUGAUGCAAACAACAUUAAUAACAAGACGAGACAAAGCUACAACAGAUAAAGAAGAUAAGAUAAAAUCUUUUGCAACACAGUAAUAUAGAGCUUUUCAAAUUGAAGUUUCCUCCACCUCACUUUUUGUUGUAUCUAGGAGCCUCUAGUAUGUCUUAUAACACAUUCCAUAGGAACUCUUACCACUGUUUCUUGUCAUUACUGGAUAUGAAUAUGUAGUUAACAUCUUGAUCAAGUUUUUAAGUUGAAGCCUAAGGUGAUUACUUGAUUUACCAAGCAUUGUCUUUGACUGUUGAUACAAUAAAUAAUAGGAUCAAAUUUAAUUUCAUAUGCAUCAUUACAUGAUUUUAAAUAAUCUAUGCUCUGUUUAUCUCUUUCAUUGUGCGAGACAUUAGUUAUUGUGCCUUAGGAAUAUGAUGAUAGAAAUUAGUAAAGAAUGUGAACUUAUCAUCUGAAAUCUUUAUAGGUUUCACAUGGACAAUGAACUGGUCCUAGCUUACUGUCACAGAACAGGUACUUAUUGGAUUUUUUAAAAUUAUUUUGAACUUUAAAAGGGUAUAAAUAUAGCACCAGACAUCAUAAUAUUCUAUUCCUGCACAAACUAUGUUAUAUCUAUCUGCAUAUCCAAAUUCCUAACUGGCCAUAUAAUGAACCAACUCGACCAAGACUAGAAAAGAAAGAGAUGAGUUUAACUAAAAUCUAUAUGCUUCAACUAUGGUGUUACUUGAGACCUUAACUAAAAUGACAUUGAUAGUAGCAACAAUACCUAUGCUGGUUCUUUGAAUGUUCAAGGGUCUGUUAAUGAUGAAAAUGUCCUAGCUUUCAUAAGAGUCAAUAAUCCUAAUUCUGUUUCUAAGAUUCUCAGAGAAGUUCCUGGAAAUGACAAGUGCUUUGAUUGUGGUGCUUCAGAACCUGAUUGGGCUUCUCUAAAUCUUGGCAUCCUAAUUUGUAUAGAAUGCUCGGGCAUUCAUCAAAACCUUGGUGUUCAUAUCUCAAAGGUAAGGUCCAUAACAUUAGAUGUCAGGAUUUGGGAACCUACCAUCUUGGAUCUAUUCCGCACAUUGGGUAAUUCUUAUUAUAACUCGAUGUGGGAGAAGCUGCUUCAACUUCCAAGUGACGGGUAUGUAACCUUAGUUGAUAAUAUAUACAAAAAAGUCAUUCUUCCAUGGGUAUAAAUUUCUAUAGAUCUUGUAUGUUUAUUGAUAUUUGGGUUCAGAUUUAAUGUGGAAGGUCCUCUCCGAGCCAAGAAAAGACAAAAUGUUGAGAGAUAUCAAAGAUCACAAAAUUCCAACUUAACAGUUCCCAGGAUUAUGUUCACAUUUCUAUUCAUUCUUCAAUUGAAGUAGUUAAUUUACAAUCUAUUUUUCCAUUACAAUUUGACAUUCUACCUGGGUCAGCCUAUCUAUUCAGUACACAUUGUCGGAUAGAUAAUGUUCCCACGUGCCAUGAUGAUAUAACAUGAAUUUAACUCAAAUAUUUUUAGAAUGUUUUGUUGGUGUUAGCUCAUGUAAAAUGAUUAAUUCAUUCAAAUUAACAAAUGUUGAUGCUAUUCAAUUUGCUUCCAAGCCAAGCCUCAAAUAUGCCUUUCAUGAAAAGGAGAAGUAUAUUUUGGCAAAGGUAUACUUUCUUGCAUAUUUUAAGGGCUUUCCUUCUCCAUGUUAUACAUUUUAUCCCUUGUGCUAAGCUUGAUCAUCCAUCAACUCGGUCUUCUUGUUUUUCCAUGGAAUUCUACAAAGAGAAUCUCAUGAUCAUUUGUCUGUUGUUUCAUUAGUAGUGGAGGUCCAAUGUAGAAACAAUGUGUCUUCCCACUUAUUGUGAAAGAACUAUUUAAACAAUGUGUCUUUUGUGGUUUAUAGCAGCAGAAAUAGUUGACAGGUUGUGACAGUAGAAACUUUGGUUUCUUUUCUCUCUAAUCUAAUCCCAAGCAGACGAGCAAGUGAAUUCUCCAUUUGCAUUGGGCUUCCAGAUUGGUUGAUCAGAAACCAUCGGCUGGUAGUAAAUUUGAGUCGAAAAAAUGGUCGCGACAAGAUUCAGAGGGAAAUGGAGGUGAUCAAAUUUGAAGGGUCGCCACAAGUCAAUUUGAUCUCAUUGAAGUGGAUGAUGAAGAGUUUUUGAACUAUUGUAAAACUUUGAAUACAUUAUGUUUGCUUUUGUGAAAUAUAUUCAUUGCUAGAAUAUAUUGAACUAUUGUAAGAAUACUUUUUUAACUAUUAUGUACACAUAUUUAGAAUAUUGCUUUAUAA